UGGGGAAUUUUGGACAAUGGGGGAAACCCUGAUCCAGCCAUCCCGCGUGUGCGAUGAAGGCCUUCGGGUUCUAAAGCACUUUUGGCAGGAAAGAAACGUCAUGGGUUAAUACCCCGUGAAACUGACGGUACCUGCAGAAUAAGCACCGGCUAACUACGUGCCAGCAGCCGCGGUAAUACGUAGGGUGCAAGCGUUAAUCGGAAUUACUGGGCGUAAAGCGUGCGCAGGCGGUUCGGAAAGAAAGAUGUGAAAUCCCAGAGCUCAACUUUGGAACUGCAUUUUUAACUACCGGGCUAGAGUGUGUCAGAGGGAGGUGGAAUUCCGCGUGUAGCAGUGAAAUGCGUAGAUAUGCGGAGGAACACCGAUGGCGAAGGCAGCCUCCUGGGAUAACACUGACGCUCAUGCACGAAAGCGUGGGGAGCAAACAGG
rnacentral:rRNA from 1 species